UGAAGGAUGACUGCCCUAUGGGUUGUAAACUUCUUUUAUAUGGGAAUAAAGUCGGGCAUGUGUACCCUUUUGCAUGUACCUUAUGAAUAAGGAUCGGCUAACUCCGUGCCAGCAGCCGCGGUAAUACGGAGGAUCCGAGCGUUAUCCGGAUUUAUUGGGUUUAAAGGGAGCGUAGGUGGAUUGUUAAGUCAGUUGUGAAAGUUUGCGGCUCAACCGUAAAAUUGCAGUUGAUACUGGCUGUCUUGAGUGCAGUAGAGGUAGGCGGAAUUCGUGGUGUAGCGGUGAAAUGCUUAGAUAUCACGAAGAACUCCGAUUGCGAAGGCAGCCUGCUGGACUGCAACUGACACUGAUGCUCGAAAGUGUGGGUAUCAAACAGGAUUAGAUA
rnacentral:rRNA from 1 species